CUGAUACAUUCCUUCUGGCUAAGUUUACACACACACACACACACACACUUUCUUUCUGACAAUGUUAAACCAGAAAGGCUUCCUUUUAGAUUACUGUGACUUUUCCUUUUAUUCAAUUUUGUGAUAAGCCACAUGCCCUCCAGUGCUAACUAACCUUUACUGCACAACUUCAUGUUUGACAUCAAGCCCAAAGUAUUUAGAACUGAUGAAGCUUUCCAAACACACCUUGACAGUUACCAUUUGCAGUGUGCAAUCCAGAUGGCCUGUUUUAUUCUUUGUUAUUGAUUUAUGAACAGUUCUUCAUGCUAUAGAUAAUUUGUUACUAAGCCAAACAUGAGCGUCAUAAAGACUUGUGUGUUUUGUAUUUGCUGAGCCAGUUUUGUAUUUGUUUGAAUCUAAAUAAACUGUUUCUUACAUUAAAAACCA
rnacentral:lncRNA from 1 species